UUUGUCUUUGCCUCUGUCCUUAUUCAAGCCUUCAUCUUAAUCUGAAAAUUUUAUCAUGAUAUAGCAAGGGUGAGCAACAAAUUUGCCCAGCAAGUUUUACAUACAAUGGAGAUAUAUCAUGAUUGAAAAGAAUGAAUAAGCUUUCAAGUUUUCAACAAUAUAAUAAUUGUGAAAUAACAUGAAUCAAGUUUCAAUGAUUGAAUGACUGAACCAAUGAUAUUGGAUGUCAACAAUUAACAUGAACAAGUUUAACUGAAACCUAUGGUAAUGAAGGUGAUCAGCCUUUCAUACCUGAUGAACAUAUACAACAUGCACAAUGUGCGAAUCAAUAAUUUAUUGACGUGGUAUAAUCAACAAUAAUUAACCACUAACAUGCUUUGAAUUAACAACUCAAGUUGAGUUAGGAAACUUGCACAAUAAUUAGAAGUUCAAGUUUAGGAACUUGCCUGUACCGUUGAUUACCGCUAAGCAAUCAAUUUAAUCUCUUAUAAAAGACCUAUCAUUAAUAAGAUCGAUCCUCCAAUUAGCAUAAUACAUUUUAUCCCACAACACUAUUACUCAAAUAAUAAAUUAGCUAACAUUUAGCCACAUAAUUAAACAUUGAAUAAUUCUUUAACUCAUUAGUAAUAUUAUUAUCCCUUAAUAAUAUUACUAUCACUUAACCAUUAUCUUAAACUUUUGUCUAAUAUUUUUAAUCAGUUAAUAGAGUAUUUAUCAUUCACAAAUAUUAUUAAUAACUUAAUAAUAUUUAAAUCCUUUACUAAUAUUAUUAAUCAUUUAAUAAUAUUGUAAUCACCUUCUAAUAUUAUUAAUCAUGUAAUAAUAUUUUACUUGUUUCAUAAAUAGUAAAGGUCUCACACAUUUUAAGAUGCAAAUAUUUUACAUCUUGAAACUUAAACCAUUUAAAUUUCAUUUCAGAAAUAUCUUUUACCUCUACUCGCAAAUACGGAGUUUCAAUAGCUAAUGCAUAACUUUUAUAGUAAAACUCAAUUUACUAUAUUAUUUCUUUACUUUAAAUAACUUUUACUUCAGUUUGUCCGUUUGUGAGUCAACAAACGGAGUCAACACUGACUAUUGCCUCAUAUAUAAACAUUUUAUCUCACUAGCACAUUUGCUUUAUUUUUCAUUUUACGCCCCAUAAGAUUUUAUUAGAUUAUUAUGACUUAUUAUUUCUCUAUCAUUUGCCCAAACACAUAAUAUUCAUUGAAUAUCAAUUUCAACAAUUACAUUGAAAAAUAUCAUAAAUCUCUUAUUAAAUCUCCCGUCGAAUAUUAUUAAUUAUGCAAUAAUAUUUUACGCUAAGGUUAUCAACCUUUUAAUUACAUUCCAAUCAAAUACUACUAAUAAUACCUCACUACAAUACUAUUAGUCAUAUAAAAAAAAUAUCUUAAGUCAUUAAUCACAUAAAUAAACAAUUAUUUCAAUUGUUUUCCUUUUUAAUAAAUAACUUGCUUAAGCAUUCUAAAAUGCUAUAAACAUUACAACACUUUAAACCCGACCCCAAGCUUCAUUACAAACUUGCAUAA
rnacentral:lncRNA from 1 species